rnacentral:tRNA from 1 species
GUCCCGUCGUCUAGCGGCCAAGGAUAGCGGACUUUGGAUCCGUUGACCCCAGUUCGAAUCUGGGCGGGAC